rnacentral:rRNA from 1 species
GACUUAGCGAAAGCUAGGUUUUCCUUCGGGACAGAUACACAGGUGUUGCAUGGCUGUCGUCAGCUCGUGUCGUGAGAUGUUGGGUUAAGUCCCGCAACGAGCGCAACCCUUGCACUUAGUUACCACAUUAAGUUGAGGACUCUAAGUGGACUGCCGCAGAUAAUGCGGAGGAAGGUGGGGAUGACGUCAAGUCAUUAUGGCCCUUAUGCCCUGGGCCACACACGUGCUACAAUGGCCGGUACAAAGGGAUGCCAAACCGCAAGGUGGAGCAAAUCCCAGAAAACCGGUCCCAGUUCAGAUUGGAGUCUGCAACUCGACUCCAUGAAGUUGGAAUCGCUAGUAAUGGCGGAUCAGCUACGCCGCCGUGAAUACGUUCCCGGGCCUUGUACACACCGCCCGUCACACCACGAGAGUUGACUGCUCCCGAAGCCGUCACGCUAACCCGCAAGGGAGGCAGACGUCUAAGGAAUGGUCAGCGAUUAGGGUGAAGUCGUAACAAGGUAGCCGUACCGGAAGGUGCGGCUGCGAUCACCUCCUUCU